CUCCGUACCAGUAUUUGGGCCGAGGAACUAAAUGGUCUCACUGUUCUCUUCUCAUGGCUUAUGUAGUUCCUAGCUUCGUUCUAGCUAUAGUUUUCAAUAUACCCAGAUUCAUGGUGAGCUACUCAAGCAGUAGCAUCAGUCUUCCAUUCCUCAAGGCAGUUAUUCGUUACCAGAUGUUUCAUCCUCUCUCUACAACUGGACUAAUCCCCUUGGCUAU